CCAAAUUGUCAGUCCGUUUAACUGAGGCUUUAGCAAUUAUUUUCCCACCAGCUAUCACAAUUGAUUUCUCUCUCACAACUGGUCUCUGAGCGUGUGUGAGUGGAACUUUAUUUGCUCGAUCCUACAUCGUCACAAUGACAAAAUGGCGGACAAGUUAAUAUCACAUGCUUAUUGGUCAUGUGUCCUCAAAUCCUCAGUUUUACCCAUCAUCACUUGAAGUUGCUGGUUGUCAUUGACUCUCUAGUCACCACCUUGUUGCUUUCUGUGUGGAUGGCCCUUUCAGCACCACCUUGUGGCAGUAUGCAGACUGCAGCGGUCAAGCAGGAGCCCGAGGAUUUGGACUGAUUCUGGUUCAUCUUCACUUUCAUUGUUUCCACUCUUGAAUAUGUCAGUAGUGUGUGUGUGUGCGUGUGUGUGCAUGCAUGCACUUUUUGGUGAACGAGGUCGCCACAAAACCGAGAGGUCCUGUCAGCAAGACCAUCAAGUUUGUUACAACCAGGAGGGUGAACCUGAAGAUCAAACAUCCUAAAACAUGUUACUGUUGUCGUCUGUCUACGCAAAGAUGCAAAUUAAUGGAAAUUUGCUCUGCAUGCUCUGAAUGGGGACAAUUGUCCAAAACCCAUCAGCAGUGAUUCCCCUCACUUGGAAGGAGCAUAUUGAUGGCGUCUGAAAGCAGCUGGCGCUGAAUCUUUACACUCUGAUGUCAUUUAGAGAUGGAAAGAGAGAGAAAUUUUGAGUAAUCUUUGUCUCUUUUUUAAAAACAUGGCAGUAUAAAUGACCUUCUGCCCCUGGAGAAACAGUUUUUGUUUUGUUUUUUCCUCUUGGCACUGCAUGAUGUCAUUGAAAAGGGACUUCCUUUUAUGGACACCAGUUUCUAGUGUUGGGACAGGCUCCAGCCCCCCUUUACUGCAUCAGCUGUUCCUGUUGUCUAUCCCUCUACAAUGUUUCUGUCUGUCUUCUAGGUCUGCUUUCAGGCCAACAAUCUGCUGGAUCUCGAAGACUUUGACCAUCAGAUGAGUGCAGCAGACUUUCGAGAUGGAAACUGAAGGGAAGUCCUAUUCCUUUGACCUUCAUUCUUCUCCUUGUACUGUACUUUUCACCAGAGGUCAUCAGGUUAUGUACUCGACUCUUAGAUUCCUCUAUGAUUUUGACAGCACGGUCACCUUUCAGAAACAGGAGAAAAUUUUCUCCUGUUUAUUUGUACAUAGUGUUUCUUUUUGAUUAACUGUGAACUUUAAAGCCCUCGGUAUCCUCUGCUGUAAAACUGUAGCAUUUAAAAUGUCAUUCUGCUUGCUUCAUGAGAAAUGAUCAUCAUAAAUGACUGUUUGGAUUCAUUUUAUCAGUAUAAUAAAUGCUUGUAUUAAAAUGA